rnacentral:rRNA from 1 species
GACGAACGCUGGCGGCGUGCCUAAUACAUGCAAGUAGAACGCUGAAGCUUGGUGCUUGCCCCGAGCGGAUGAGUUGCGAACGGGUGAGUAACGCGUAGGUAACCUGCCUGGUAGCGGGGGAUAACUAUUGGAAACGAUAGCUAAUACCGCAUAAGAGUAGAUGUUGCAUGACAUUUGCUUAAAAGGUGCAAUUGCAUCACUACCAGAUGGACCUGCGUUGUAUUAGCUAGUUGGUGAGGUAACGGCUCACCAAGGCAACGAUACAUAGCCGACCUGAGAGGGUGAUCGGCCACACUGGGACUGAGACACGGCCCAGACUCCUACGGGAGGCAGCAGUAGGGAAUCUUCGGCAAUGGACGGAAGUCUGACCGAGCAACGCCGCGUGAGUGAAGAAGGGUUUCGGAUCGUAAAGCUCUGUUGUAAGAGAAGAACGAGUGUGAGAGUGGAAAGUUCACACUGUGACGGUAUCUUACCAGAAAGGGACGGCUAACUACGUG